UACGUAGGUGGCAAGCGUUAUCCGGAUUUACUGGGUGUAAAGGGCGUGUAGGCGGGCGAGCAAGUCAGAUGUGAAAUUCCAGGGCUCAACCCUGGAACUGCAUUUGAAACUGUUGGUCUUGAGUGCUGGAGAGGCAAUCGGAAUUCCGUGUGUAGCGGUGAAAUGCGUAGAUAUACGGAGGAACACCAGUGGCGAAGGCGGAUUGCUGGACAGUAACUGACGCUGAGGCGCGAAAGCGUGGGGAGCAAACAGG
rnacentral:rRNA from 1 species